CUCAUUAACGAUUGGUUAGUAUUCAGAACCACAAACUUUCUAAUCAAUCUUGCCAUUAAAGGUAAUUAAAUUGUAAUUGGUGCUUUUAUUUUGAAAGGAUUUAGAGGAAAUGUGUGGGGGCAAUAGCGUAACUGUCAAUUAGUCUUUAAAUAAUCAUAAUUACCCAUUUAAAGGCAAAACAGUGCAGUUAAAGCUAAUAAAUGGCAUUGGUGCUUUUAUUUUGAAAGGAUGUAGAGGAAGCAUGUGUGGGUAAUUACUAAACUGUUAAUCUAUCUUUAAAUAGUCAUAAUUACCCAUCUAAAAGUAGAAAUAUUGCUAUUAAAGCUAAUUAUUUGGCUUGGUGCUUUUACUUUGAAAGGAUUAAGAGGAAGUGUGUGCUUAAUUACUACACAAUCCAAUAGUGUAGUUGAGUAAUCAAUAAUAAGCAUGGAACUGCUCUGUACACAGAGCAUCAGCAGUUUUGACCUGUCAGUCAAAUCUGCAGCUGCGCCGUCGCCAUGGAGACAAAAGGCGGGAAAAUCAGGCUCACUCUGCUCUGUGAAAGCAGAGUUUCACCCUGUAUAAAUAGGCUUGUUUCAGCUAAACCAUGAUAGUUAUCACAAAAAUUAUUUCAUUUUACGAGUCCCAAGGCUUCAAUGAGCAAAUGGUGUGAAUUUUAUGUUUAAGGACAAAACCACAGUGGCAAUUUCAAAAUAUGUCUCCUCUGUUUUUCUCCUCAGACGUCUGCCAAAAAUUAUCAUUAGAGUCAAUGGGAGAAUUUCAGGAUCUCUCUGCACUUUGAGGUCCAUAGCGACUAAAGUAUAGGUCUGAGGGUAUAUCCAGACACAUCAUUAGAAAGAAGACAAGUAUGACUACGAUUUAGUGAAGUAAUUACGUUGAUAGAGUAAAAAAUUGUGGCUGUAGUGACGAGUUAGAGACAGAAGUUCUGUCUUAAAAAAGCGCACCUUCUCACUGUAGCUGUGACAUCACGCACUCUAACUGACCCAACACACACUAAUGGAAAAGCUGAAAAUUUAACAAAAACCACACACGAUAUUUAAACGCUCACAAGUUGAAAACUAUAAAAGAUACGAGGACGCUGAUUUACACGGAGAACGAUGAAAGAUGAUAGAUGCUUUUGACGUUAAAAUGACGUUUCUACGCCAAAGUAUGACGAUGAUAGACGCUGAUGAAAAGAGGGAAGUUGACAGAAAGUUGAACGAUGAUUCCCAUAGACGACCAUUAUAAAAAAACGACGAAAAACGUUGAAUAACGUUAAAAGUUUAAAAGCUGAAAACGUGAAAAGUAAUAGCCUGCAUCGUCUAACGAUGACGCACGUUUAGAACGUUGAACGAUGAUUCUACGAUGAAGCGUUGAGAAGUAGAUAGCGACCGAAAAACGGGGCGAAAUAAUAAGAAUAAUAAUAAUAACUAGAAAAAGUAAUUUCUCGAGAAAUUACGUGGGAGAGCUGAUCUGCUGCCGCAACGAUGACAAACGCUGAUAAAGCUGCUGACGUCAAAAAGUUGACUACGGCAAAGCGAUGAAAACGAGAAAACGUUGACAAAGAUUAAAACGAUGACAAAAGAUGGCGAUUAAAAAGAUGAUGAUUAAAAAGAUGACCAAGGUCAUACUAUGACAAUAUUAAGAGAUGACAAUGAUUCAAAAGUUGACCAAGGUUAAAAGAUGUCAAAGAUUAAAAGGUUGACCAAUGUGCAUUGUUGACAAUCAUAAAUAAGCUGACUAUCUUUUUGAUUUGAAGAAAGUAUUUGUAAAUAUUACCUAACUGUGUAAUAUUUUAAUAACUAGUAGAAAUUUACCAGUCAGAAACAAAAAUCUUGCCAUUUAGGUAAUAAAUUACAUUGGUGCUUUUAUUCUGAAAGGAUU
rnacentral:lncRNA from 1 species